rnacentral:misc_RNA from 1 species
GAUCAUUAAUGAAUUUUAGGACUCUCUUUUUAGAGGUCCGACCCUUUCAUUUCCAUACACUGUGCACACACUUCUUUUCACACAUUUUAACACUAUAGUAUAAGAAUGUAACAGUCUCUUUAUUGAGCAUAAAUAAAAAUAAAACUUUCAGCAACGGAUCUCUUGGCUCUCGCAUCGAUGAAGAACGCAGCGAAUUGCGAUAAGUAAUGUGAAUUGCAGAAUUCAGUGAAUCAUCGAAUCUUUGAACGCACCUUGCACUCUUUGGUAUUCCGAAGAGUAUGUCUGUUUGAGUGUCACGAAACUCUCAACCCCCCUAUUUUGUAAUGAGAUGGGCGUGGGCUUGGAUUAUGACUGCUGUCGGCGUAAUUGCCGGCUCAGUUGAAAUACACGAGCAACCCAUUUGAAAUAAACGGCUUGACUCGGCGUAAUAAUUAUUUCGCUGAGGACGUUUUCUUCAAAAGUUAGAGGUGCUUCUAAUGCGCUAUUACAGCACUUUAAAUUUUAGACCUCAAAUCAGUCAGGACUACCCGCUGAACUUAAGCAUAUCAAUAAGCGGAGGAAAAGAAACUAACAAGGAUUCCCCUAGUAACGGCGAGUGAAGUG